CCUACGGGAGGCAGCAGUGAGGAAUAUUGGACAAUGGGCGCAAGCCUGAUCCAGCCAUGCCGCGUGCAGGAUGACGGUCCUAUGGAUUGUAAACUGCUUUUAUACGAGAAGAAACACUACUUCGUGAAGUAGCUUGACGGUAUCGUAAGAAUAAGGAUCGGCUAACUCCGUGCCAGCAGCCGCGGUAAUACGGAGGAUCCAAGCGUUAUCCGGAAUCAUUGGGUUUAAAGGGUCCGUAGGCGGUUUAAUAAGUCAGUGGUGAAAGCCCAUCGCUCAACGGUGGAACGGCCAUUGAUACUGUUAGACUUGAAUUAUUAGGAAGUAACUAGAAUAUGUAGUGUAGCGGUGAAAUGCUUAGAGAUUACAUGGAAUACCAAUUGCGAAGGCAGGUUACUACUAAUAUAUUGACGCUGAUGGACGAAAGCGUGGGUAGCGAACAGGAUUAGAUACCCUGGUAGUCCACGCCGUAAACGAUGGAUACUAGCUGUUGGAAGCAAUUUCAGUGGCUAAGCGAAAGUGAUAAGUAUCCCACCUGGGGAGUAACGUUCGCAAGAAUGAAACUUCAAAGGAAUUGACGG
rnacentral:rRNA from 1 species